UACAGAGGGUGCAAGCGUUAAUCGGAAUUAUUGGGCGUAAAGCGUGUGUAGGUGGUAUAUCAAGUCGGUCGUGAAAACCCCGGGCUCAACCUGGGAAUUGCGAAUGAAACUGAUAAACUAGAGUGUGGAAGAGGGAAGUGGAAUUUCCGGUGUAGCGGUGAGAUGCGUAGAUAUCGGAAGGAACAUCAGUGGCGAAGGCGACUUCCUGGUCCAACACUGACACUCAGACACGAAAGCGUGGGGAGCAAACAGG
rnacentral:rRNA from 1 species